rnacentral:rRNA from 1 species
AGUAGCGGUGAAAUGCGUAGAUAUCUGGAGGAAUACCAAAGGCGAAGGCAGUCCCCUGGUCCGAUACUGACACUGAGGUACGAAAGCGUGGGGAGCAAACAGGAUUAGAUACCCUGGUAGUCCACGCCCUAAACGAUGUCGAUUAGCCAUUGGAAGGACCCCUUUUCCUUUCAGUGACGUAGCUAACGCGUUAAAUCGACCGCCUGGGAAGUACGACCGCAAGGUUAAAACUCAAAGGAAUUGACGGGGACCUGAACAAGCAGUGAAUGAUGUGGAUUAAUUCGAUGCUACGCGAAGAACCUUACCUACCUUUGACAUGGCCAAAGUUCUACCGAGAGGCGGAAGUACUCGUAAGAGGAUUGGCGCACAGGUGCUGCAUGGUUGUCGUCAGUUCGUGUCGUGAGAUGUUGGGUUCAGUCCCGCAACGAACGCAACCCUUAUCUUUAAUUGCUCCUAUUUUAACAGGCACUUUAAAGAAACUGCCAAUGAUAAGUUGGAGGAAGGUGGGGAUCACGUCAAGUCCGCAUGGCCUUUAUAGGUAGGGCUUCACACGUCAUACAAUGGUUAGAACAAAGAGCUGCAAAUUCGUAAGAAGGAGCCAAUCUCACAAACCUAACCUCAGUUCGAAUUGCGGUCUGCAACUCGAGCGCAUGAAGCCGGAAUCGCUAGUAAUCGUGGAUCAGAAUGCCA